UAUAACACCGGUUCCCGUACGAUCAUUAAAGUUAAGCAACGUCGAGCCUGGUUAGUACUUAGAUGGAUCACCGGUUGGAAAUACCAAGUGCUGUAAG